GACGAACGCUGGCGGCGGGCUUAACACAUGCAAGUCGAACGGAAAGGCCCUGCUUUUGUGGGGUGCUCGAGUGGCGAACGGGUGAGUAACACGUGAGUAACCUGCCCUUGACUUUUGGAUAACUUCAGGAAACUGGGGCUAAUACCGGAUAGGAGCUCCUGCUGCAUGGUGGGGGUUGGAAAGUUUCGGCGGGUGGGGAUGGACUCGCGGCUUAUCAGCUUGUUGGUGGGGUAGUGGCUUACCAAGGCUUUGACGGGUAGCCGGCCUGAGAGGGUGACCGGCCACAUUGGGACUGAGAUACGGCGCAGACUCCUACGGGAGGCAGCAGUGGGGAAUAUUGCACAAUGGGCGGAAGCCUGAUGCAGCAACGCCGCGUGCGGGAUGACGGCCUUCGGGUUGUAAACCGCUUUCGCCUGUGACGAAGCGUGAGUGACGGUAAUGGGUAAAGAAGCACCGGCUAACUACGUG
rnacentral:rRNA from 1 species